AUUGAACGCUGGCGGCAUGCUUUACACAUGCAAGUCGAACGGUAACAGGCCGCAAGGUGCUGACGAGUGGCGAACGGGUGAGUAAUGCAUCGGAACGUGCCCAGUCGUGGGGGAUAACGCAGCGAAAGCUGUGCUAAUACCGCAUACGAUCUGUGGAUGAAAGCGGGGGACCGAAAGGCCUCGCGCGAUUGGAGCUGCCGAUGUCAGAUUAGGUAGUUGGUGGGGUAAAGGCUCACCAAGCCAACGAUCUGUAGCUGGUCUGAGAGGACGACCAGCCACACUGGGACUGAGACACGGCCCAGACUCCUACGGGAGGCAGCAGUGGGGAAUUUUGGACAAUGGGCGCAAGCCUGAUCCAGCAAUGCCGCGUGCAGGAAGAAGGCCUUCGGGUUGUAAACUGCUUUUGUACGGAGCGAAAAGGCUCUCUCUAAUACAGGGGGCUCAUGACGGUACCGUAAGGAUAAGCACCGGCUAACUACGUGCCAGCCGCCGCGGUAACAC
rnacentral:rRNA from 1 species